rnacentral:rRNA from 1 species
AUCAAGUGUCUUAAGGGCAUUUGGUGGAUGCCUUGGCAUGCACAGGCGAUGAAGGACGUGAUACGCUGCGAUAAGCUACGGGGAGGUGCGAAUACCCUUUGAUCCGUAGAUCUCCGAAUGGGGCAACCCACCUUUGAUGGCUAGAAAAAUUAAGCUGUUUUUACAAAAAGACAGUUUAGUUUUCUAGUCGUCAGAUAAAGGUAUCUACACCUGAAUAAAAUAGGGUGUAAGAAGCAAACGCAGGGAACUGAAACAUCUAAGUACCUGUAGGAAAGGACAUCAAACGAGACUCCGUUAGUAGUGGCGAGCGAACGCGGACCAGGCCAGUGGCUUAAAUUAAGAAAAGUAGAAUCGACUGGAAAGUCGAACCAAAGUGGGUGAUAGUCCCGUAUACGUAAAUCUGAUUUAAGUCCUAGAGUAGGGCGGGACACGUGAAAUCCUGUCUGAAUAUGGGU